UGGCGGUGCGAAUAUUGGCAGCAAUAGGGGGCAAGCCUGAUGCAGCCAUGCCGCGUGUAUGAAGAAGGCCUUCGGGUUGUAAAGUACUUUCAGCCGGGAGGAAGGGGGUGGUGUUAAUAGCUUUGUCCUUUGACGUUAGCGGCAGAAGAAGCACCG
rnacentral:rRNA from 1 species